UUUGUUCAUUCGGUCCGACCACAAGCAACCGAAACCAAGUUCGGUCCAAGAUUGUUGAUACAAAAACCAUGUUCGAUCCGAAAUCCAACUUCAUGACAAGCGAAACCUUAGCCAAACCGAAUCACAGGUUCGCCUUCGGUCCUCCCCUCUUUCUUCCAAGUGCUACCAACCGAACUCAAGUUCGUUCCAGGUACAUUCCAAGGCCAUUGAUACAAAAGCGAAAUCAAGCAUCACGAUGCCAACAAGGAGUGAAACCUUUGCCAAGCCGAACCACAGGUUCGCUUUUUGUCUUCCCUUCAUUCGUUCCAAGGCAACAGAAGAACCCAAUCAUAGAUUCGGUUCAAUAUCGUCGAUUAUACCCCAAAGAGAAGCACAGUAAACGAUCGUUCACAGGUAAGGCUUUUGAUGAGAUUAAANNNNNNNNNNNNNNNNNNNNNNNNNNNNNNNNNNNNNNNNNNNNNNNNNNNNNNNNNNNNNNNNNNNNNNNNNNNNNNNNNNNNNNNNNNNNNNNNNNNNUUUUGACUUUUCGUUUAGACCAUUGUGCAUACCAAUUGAUCCCUGUUACGAUUUCAUCCUGAUAAACUCUCAAAUCUGAUUACAUUCGUUCUCAGUGAGUUCACUUGCACCAAAUAUUUUGCAGUACCAAUUUUGGCCUGCAAAAGCGAACAGACACACAAAGACCAUUUCAUCUCAUUUCGUUUGACGCCAUCCAACAUCACUAUUCUGAAUAUGUCUUUCAUUUUCAGUUCCUUUUCCGAUUCAUUCCAGCCAACAUCACAAUUUAGGAAAUCUAAUUUUGAGAUCGGAAAUUGGUUCUGAUUCCGAGACUUCAAUCCAAUUGCGAAAUAAUUCAUAGUUCUGAAUUGACUUUUUAUAUUCUAAGUUCCGAUUACAAUCCAAUUAAGAGACCCGUUCGGAUUUGAAAGACAAGAAAUUAUUCUUUAUGUGAGAACAUCAGUAAACAACGAGACCGUCUUUCCAAUUGCGAGACAAUCAUUGCAAGUCUGCUCUUUGUGCUGACAAAACGAUUACAAGACCAGAUUAAUGAUACCUUCUCAUCAUCUAUAUGCAAAUCAGCAAUCUUCAUUCAGAUUUACUUUUGCAAUUGCAAUCGAUCCUGAUGACUAUACACAACCACAUAUCUACCAGAAUUUGAUUCUUCAACACAUAUAUUGUUUUGUAUAUAUCGAGAUUACCAAAAUCAACAAAUAUGAACCACUUUGGAAUGAUAAUAGAAAAUCAAUAGAUAUCAAUUGCUCAUAUCAGCAAUUCAUAUUUAUGAUGAAAUCGACAAUCACAGUUGAAUGACAAGCCUGAAAAAAUCCACUAAUCGCUAAAUGAUUUUGAAGAAAAGAGAUUCGAUUGAAAAACAAAAAUCAAUUAAAUAAAGAAUCAAUUUGAACAAAGAUCGACAUCAUGAGAAUCGUGAUUCAUAAGGAGCUUGAAUCGAUUACCCAAAAAGUGAUUUAGGCUUCUAAUAUCGAUAAUUGUGAACGGGUGAAGAACGUCAACAGGAAGACUGAACAUGUGUGAUAGAUUAAGAUUAGACGAACAAUGAUAAAUUGAAUUUGGGCCAGAAAUAAACGGAUGAACAGUAAAGAACUGAAUCUUUGGACAAAAUCAUAAGAAAUUGAUCUACGAAGCAAUAUAUUGAUUUUGGACUAAACAAUCGAUCAGAUCUAACAGAAAUAAAAUACGAGAUGGAUUAAAAUAAUACCCAGAUGAACAGUGAUAGAAAACAUAAGUUUUCAUAUCGGUUGCUUGAACAGAAAUAUCAAUUCCAUACCGCCAAAACACCAAUAAUAUUCAAUAUAUGUGUAGAAAAUCACCAAACCAAGAACCGAUACUUCAAAAAUCAAUAGAUCUUCAAAGACCCGCUCUGAUACCACAUGUUGGGAAUAAAAUCUUAAUUCUGAUUUGAUGAACAAGAUGCGGAAAAUAAGAACAAACACAAAUAAAGAAGAUAUGUCGAAUGAUCACUCGAUUUAUUCAAAACAUGAGGAAUAAAUUACACUUUCAGCAUAGACUAAAGAAUCUAACACUACAUAAGAAACUUCACAAUGUGGCGGCUACAUUUUGCCUCACUCUUAACAUCAAUUACGAAUAAUACAUGACUAUUUAUAGGGAAAAGACAAGCCUUGGGCUUUUAACCUACACUUCAUCAAGGGGCCUACUGCCAUUAUCCUUGGAGUGCUUUGAAACCCUACAAGUGAGUGAGAUGGUAAACUUCGAGGACGAAGUUUAGUUUAAGUGGGGGAGAGUUGUAACACCCAAGAUUUUGAAAACCAAGAAAGUAAAAGAAACCCUAAAUUUAGGAGGGACUCGGCGAGUCCAAGGAGGAACUCGGCGAGUCCGAGCGGGAUCCGAGUCGAGGAUUAAGUGACCAACUCGGCAAGUCGGCCAAGGCGACUCGGCGAGUAGGGUCUAUGCAAGGAAAACCCUAAAUUCGGGGCUUGGAGCCUAUUUAAACGUCUCAUUCUUCUUACUAGGGCUCCUUUACUGCCUCUCCAACCAAGAAUACGAACCUUAAACANCUAUGCAAGGAAAACCCUAAAUUCGGGGCUUGGAGCCUAUUUAAAAUUCUCAUUCUUCUUACUAGGGCUCCUUUACUGCCUCUCCAACCAAGAAUACGAACCUUAAACAGCCAUUGUUGCUUAUUCAAGCUCUUUGCCAUUUUGUGGGUGAUUUGAAGGAAGAAGGAGGGAAGGAAUCAUUGAGGCUUCAAGGAACUGCAGCAAAUCCAAAGUUGAAGGACCUUUCAGAGCACUUAAAGGUAAUAAGUCGCUUCCUUCAUCCAGAUCUACUUUGGUUAUGAGUUUUGGGGCUUUUAAGCCAUGUCUAAGUUUAAUCUCGAGCUUGAGGUCCAGAUCUGAGGUUGCUACCUCAGAUCCAUGUUUGUUUUGGUUUAGAAUCCCGUAAAGUAUCAGCCAUUGGGUGGAUUUUUGGAGCCUUUGGUCUCAAACCCUAGUUCAUGGUGUAUUUUGCUUAGAUCUCCAUCUUCACACGUAAAGUUUGCAACUUUAUGUGGGGGAUAGGCUUGGGAAGAGUAGAUCUACGGUUUGGAGUCCCUGCAUGACUCAAAAGUCCCCUGCAUGUUGUGGAACCGAAUGGACUCGGCGANCGAUUGGCCUCGCCGAGUGUGAUGAACAACUCGUCGAGUCGGAUGAAGAUGGGCAUGAACCCGGCGAGUGGGAUGAAGAUUGCUUUGUGCUCGGCGAGUCUGUUCUUAGACUCGGCGAGACAGGUCGCGUAGCCCCAAACCCUUCGAGUUAAGACUCAAGUCAGCGAGUCGAGCAAGGACUCAGUGAGUUGGUCAGGACAGGAUUUAGGAAUCUGUAGACUCGGCGAGUUAGGGGCUGACUCGGCGAGUCAAGUCGCGAUUGGAAGGACUUGAGCAUAAGAACUCGGCGAGUCAGUGAGUGGACUCGGCAAGUAGGGUUGACCUGGAAGGUUGACUUUGACCAGGACUUUGACUUUGGCAAGGGUUGACUUGGUUGACCUUUGAAGGUCAAUUAGACUAAGUAAUGUGUUGGCAUUGAUAGCUCGGGGAGCUAGUGGAGCAGCAGUUCGGAGUCAGUGGUCGGGUAGCGGUCAAAGGGAUUAGCAGCAACAGUUCAGCAGUAUCAGGUGAGUUUCCCUUUGUAUGAAUGGGUCUACGGCCACAAUGCCGGCCCAUGUAGUUAUGAGUAGAAGACCCGGGGGUUAGCCCUAGGCACAGUAUGCUAGUAUGGUAUUCGGACGAGGUCCAAUGAUAGAGGGCGGGUGCCCAAGGAGUGGUUUAUGUGAUAGUUUAUACUUGUUGUCUGUGUGAUACAUGUACGUGCCUGGUAGGAAGGUGAGUGGGGGGCGAGGUCCCGUAUCUCACCAAUAGCAGAGUGUGGAUGGUGUUCCACAUCUCAGUAGCAGCAGUACAGGGGCGAGGCCCAAGCUAGGAAAAGAGUGAGGACGGGCGGGGCCCGUAUCUCACUAUCAGCAGGAGUAUGGACGAGGUUCCAUGACUCAUCAGUAGCAGGACACGGGCGGGGCCCGGAGAUAGGCGAGGCCUUGGAGCAAGAGUUGUUAGUAUAUGUUUAGCUUAUGUGUUGUUAUGUGAUAUAUGUAUGUGCUAGUAUAUGUUAGUGGGCGGGGCCCUGUGACAGGCAAGGCCUAAGUGAAACAGAUCUGUAUCCGAGCGGGGCUUGAAGCCAGGCGGGGCCUGGAGCCGCGGGGCCGUUGUAGCGGGCGAGGCCCGAAGUAGGGGGCGAGGCCUCAGAUAGCGGGCAUGGCCCAGUAUGUGCAGUAUGUGGUCAUGCAUGGUAUGUGGUAGGGUUGGGAACUCACUAAGUUUCGUGCUUANGUUUUCAGUUUUGUUUUCAGGUACUUCCGGUAGCGGAGGGAGGAGCUCGGGGUGAUCGCAUGGCACACACCAUAGAGUAGUCAGCCUGGGAAUGUUUACUCUGAUAAUAAACAUGUGUUUUGAAAACUUAUACUCAAAUUAUGUUUUGGAAUGAUGACUUUGUUUGAAGUAAUGUUUUAUUAAAAGAAAUUUUUGGUCUCGAAUUUUGGGUCGUUACAAGUUGGUAUCAGAGCCUUGGUUUGAGGGAUUCGAGCAUACUCUCGGGUGUGGCUGAACUCAAACUGAGGGGUUGGAUAAAAAGUUUUCAAAAGCGAAAAGACAGUUUUCUAAAAAGAAUUUUGAGAACAAAAAGCAGUUUUAGAAAAACAAAAAGAAUCCAGAAAAAGAAGAAUUUUGAAAAGAGAAAAAGGGGUGUGGUGCAUGCAAUCAACCGAGCUCAAGUAAGUACCCCAAAAUACCCAUACAAGUUUAUAUUAUGAUUAUCAGUUGGUAGAACAGCAUGCUAGAAUAGGACUAAGGAUCUAGGGAUGAUGCCUUAUGUGCCUGUUAUUUGUGCUUUUGAGCUGCAUAGUAGUGCUAAGUAGACAGUAGUAGGAUAGCCUGUUUAGGUUAUACCUGAGAUAUGAGUUUGUGUUUCAUGCUAGUUCAGAUUCUUGCUAUGUGGAUAUGAUUUCUUGAGUAUGUUAUGGUUAGAUUUUCCUUUGUUCGAAUGCUGCUUGCUUUGUGUAUUGUGGGAUUCUGAGUGAUGGGAGUUAGCCAUUAGGUGGAUACGACAAGUCACAUGCGAUCAGGGUUGAAUAAUCUCAGAGUGCUGGAUUUGGUCCUAUUACGCAGCUCUCGUCUGAGUCCAACCGUUGUAGCGACGAGUCUUUUACUUGAAGGAUUAUCUGAGCCUCGUUGCAUGUGAUGGUAUCCAGGUGAUGGCUAAUUGGCAUCAUAAGGAGACCUUCAGUAGGUUUGUGUUGAGUUAGAGGUUUCCCUAGGGUAAGCCUAGGAUGAGAUAGUGCUGGGAGCAGUAGUAGUGGUUAAGGGGUCUGGUGGAGUCAAAGCAAUUCCUGAGGAAAGUACGGAUAGAUAUGGAAGGUAGUAUGGGCCCGUACUACUGAAAGCAAAGGAUCCGUACUCGAUUCGGGAAGGGCCGAGACAAGACCAGGAACCUGGUAGGGUAUGUUUGGUCUCACAUCAGUGAUGAGUAUUCUAAUAGUGGUUGUGGUAUAUUUUCAGCAUGGUGACAUUGCGAGAGAGACCAGCGGGCGGGUCAGGCGCCGGAGAGGGAUCAGGCUCGGGUUUAGGGACCGAGCAGCUCGAGGAGCAGAUGAGAGAGUUGAUAUCAGCUGAGGUUACGCGCAGUAUUCUAGCUCAGACUCCUGUGAUCUUUGGCACGGUCAAGGAGGGUAUACUGGAGAUCUUGGAUGAGAGGCUGGGAGCCUUCCGUACUGAGAUGAUGGCAUUGAUGGGAGCGCGUACUCUGACAUUUCGAGAGUUCAGAGCCUGCGGGGCACCAGAUUAUCAUGGGGCUAGGGACCCCAUUGCUAGCAGCAGAUGGUUGGCUGAUGUUGCCAACGCUUUUCGUACGAGCAAGUGUCCCGAGGGGGACAAGGUUAGACUCGCCUCCUGUCUUCUGAAGGACAGAGCGAGGGAUUGGUGGGAGGAGAUUGGUCAUGCUUUGGGGGAUGAUGCCGCGUUGGACGCGAUGACUUGGAGCGAUUUCUCGGCCAGGUUCAGGGCGGAGUUUUCGCCGAUUAUUGAGGUGCAGCAGCUGGCACGAGAGUUUCAGGAUUUGACGCAGACUACUGAGACUGUGGCGGAGAUCACCGCCAAGUUCAGGGAGAGGGCUCUUCUUGUACCGCAGUAUGUAGCGGAUGAGGAGAUGAAGAAGGCUCGGUACCAUGAGAUGUUGAGGGACGACAUCAGGGAGUUCGUGAGCAGGUCCAGCUGUAAGACGCUGGAAGAUAUGAUUUCUCGGGCUAGGGAAAGGGAAAUUGAUUUGGAGCAGAUCCGGAAGAGGAAGCCGGAUGAGGUUCAGGUAUCAGCGGGUUCGNAUUGAUUUGGAGCAAAUCCGGAAGAGGAAGCCGGAUGAGGUUCAGGUAGCUGUGGGUUCGGGCAAAAGGCCCAAGGGAUCGGAUUCGAGAUCGAGGGAUCAUCAGGACCGCAAUCGGUGCGGAAAGUGUGGCAGGGCGCACGGGGGCGCGUGCAGGAGUGGUAGCCGUGGUGAGUCUGGUUGCUUCAAGUGCGGUCGGACUGGUCAUUUCAGCAGGGAUUGCACUGUUACUGCCGCGCAGGAAUCAGACUUGAUAUGUUUUCAUUGCAACCAGCGGGGCCACAAGAAGGCCCAGUGCCCCAGUUUGUCUUCGGCAGGACGGGUGAUGGCACCCGCCCUUGCAAAUUUGAGGAUCACAGAUGGCCGUCAGGGCCGGGUAGAGGCACAUGCAGCAGGGAGCAGGGCUUUUCAGAUGACGACCUUGGAGACGCUAGCGACGCCGGACGUUGCAGGGAUGCAAUUUCCAUUUCCAGUUCUUUUAUUUGUGCAUGAUUAUGUUGUUAUGAUUCUGCAUCAUCAUCGGUAUGAGUAUUUUAUUUAUGUGCGGUUGAUUAUGGUCGAGUUAUAUGCCAUCUGCAUACCUUGGAUAAUUGUAUGGUAGUUAGGGGAUGUGCUCUAUUGGAGAAGGUUACGUAGGAUGCAGUAGCUGUAGCAUGCUUGGGAGGGACUUAGUAUGUCUCGUUAGAUCAGGAUCGUGUAGUGUCAGAGAUGGAUUGGUUAGAUCCCUAGCUAUGGUAAGCUUGGGUUCCUCAGCAGAUUGAUUAUGGAAUGGUAGCAAGGAUUGGGUUUUCUCUUUGAGCAUUGAGCAACAAGGGGUAAGCAGGAUCGAAGUGGGGGAGAAUCCUCCGAGUAAGCCAGGGUAGGAGCACGCAGACCCAGAAGGAGUGCGCAACCUCCGAGGAGGAAAGGAAGUAGUUCAGCGUUCGAUGGAUUGAGGAUUUCAGGGUUGGGAGUUUGAGAAACUCCCCAUCAGCUAGAGCGUGUGUCGGUAAUGGUUAGUUCGUGGUUGGGAAUUCAGGUUGUUGAUCGCCCGUAUGACUCGAGGGAGUCAGAAUGAGGAUCUUGAGAGCUAAUGGCACAUGGGUGCCUUCGUAUUAGCAGUCAGUGGUGGAAGUGUUGUAAGACUACGGGGCAGCCGUAGCAUUCACUAGCAGUCAACAAUGGAUGGUGAUGUAAGGCUAUGGGUAAGUCGUAGCAUUCCCUAGUCGCUUCGUUAGCGGAGUUGGGGCGAGGCCCUUAUUUUCUCGUGAUCAGAUAGGGAUCGGGAUGGGUAGUCGUUGAGAAUGAUAGGGAGUUGCCUGUAUAGCCCUAGCAAGGUGAGACCUUGGGAGAGGCUGCUCCUGGAUAUAGUUGGGUGAGACCCGUGGGCGAGGCCCGUACGAGAUUAGCAGUGUAGAUAAGACCUGAGAGCAGGGUUGCUCAGUAGUAUGGUUGGGUGGUACCCGUGGGCGAGGCCCAUGGGUUUUUAGCAGCGCAGGUGGGACCUGGUAGGGACCUUAGUGUCAAGUUAGGGGAUCGGGGAUCCCAGGUUUGUAGUGCCUGAGUGGUGGAAUUGUUUGAGCAGUUAUAGGUAGUUGAGGUUUCUUUGGAAGUCGCUGAGAGCGACUUGUGUUGAUGUUGGGACCAGCUACCGGUGGGAGCCGGUAAUCCAGAUAUUGAUAGGUUGGUAGGGACCAGAGUGGUCUCAGUUCAACCGGAAGGCAGAUGAGGAAUGGCAGAAGUAUCCAGUCAGUAGUAGUGCGGGAAGGCGGGUUAUGUUGGAAUUCAGUUAGAUGAGUCGAGGGGUGCUCGACACCAAGUUAUGACAAGAGAGGAGUGUCAGUGGUUACUGGCGGUAAUGACCCGUACUGGAUUUAGCGGGAAUAAGGGAUUGGUGAAGAUAGGAUCUUCACAGUGGCUGAGGAGAUAGUUGUUUUUGGAGCAUCGCCUUGGGAAGGCAAGGGAAUGGCGUGAGGAAAGAAGGGGUGAACCCCUAUAGGUUCAGUGCAGUACUCGGUGAGUACCCGUCGGAUUAUCGGCUAAGUAAGUUGUGUUUCCAGAAUGUUCAGGGUCAGGGUUGACCCGAGAUGGUUAUUUGCAAGGGUUAAUGCUAGUCUGAAUGAUCAGGAGGAAGACCAUCGAAGGUAGGCAGCUGGUGUUGGAACAAUUCGUGGGGUAUUGGAGGCAGAUAGCAGGCGGUGAGAUGGUAAACUUCGAGGACGAAGUUUAGUUUAAGUGGGGGAGAGUUGUAACACCCAGGAUUUUGAAAGCCAAGAAAGUAAAGGAAACCCUAAAUUUAAGAGGGACUCGACGAGUCAAAGGAAGGACUCGGCGAGUCGGAGCGGGAUCCGGGUCGAUAAGAAAGUGACCAACUCGACGAGUCGGCCAAGUGGACUCGGCGAGUCUGGUCUGUGCGAGGAAAACCCUAAAUCCGGGGCUUGGAGCCUAUUUAAGCAUCUUAAUCUUCUUCCUAGGGCUCCUUUACAGCCUCUUGCACCCAGAACGCCGCACCUUAAGCCCCCAUUGUGUUCAUUCAAGCUUCUAGCCAUUUUUGAGUGGGUUUAAGGAAGAAGAAGGAGUGGGAAUCCUUGAAGCAUCAGGGAGUGGCUUUGGAUCUGAAGUUUGGGAAGCAUUUCAGAGCAUUGGAAGGUAUCAAUUCGUUUCUCUCCUCCAUAUUUUUCCUUGGUUAUGAGUUUUGGGGCUUUUAAGCCAUGUUUAAGACCAAUCUUGAGCUUGAGGUCCAGAUCUGAGGUUGCUACCUCAGAUCCAUGUUUAUUUUGGUUUGUAAUCCCAGAAAGUAUCAGCCAUUGGGUGGAAAUUGGAGUCUCUUGGUCCUAAACCCUAGCUAUGGGUGUAUUUUGCCUAGAUCUCCCUCUCUACACGUAAAGUUUGCAACUUUACGUGGGAAAUAGGCUUGGGGAGGGUAGAUCUACAGUUUGGAGCUCAUGCAUGACUCGGAAGUCCUCUGCAUGUAAGUGGAUCUUAGUGGACUCGACGAGUCCUUCGAGUGGACUCGGCGAGUAGCUUGAAGAUGAGGAGGAACUCGACGAGUGGGAUGAACAGCUCGUCGAGUCGGAUGAAGAUGGGCAUGAACUCGGCGAGUUGGAUGAACAACUCGUCGAGUUGGAUGAAGUUUGUCGUGUGCUCGGCGAGUCUGUUCUUAGACUCGGCGAGUCAGGUCGCGUAGUCCCAAACCCUUCGAGUUAAGACUCGAGUCAGCGAGUCGAGCAAGGACUCAGUGAGUUGGUCAGGACAGGAUUCAAGAAUCUGUAGACUCGACAAGUCAGGGGCUGACUCGGCGAGUCAAGUUGCGAUUGGAAGGACUUGAGCAUAAGAACUCGGCGAGUCAGUGAGUGGACUCGGCGAGUAGGGUUGACCUGGAAGGUUGACUUUGACCAGAGUUGACUUGGUUAACCUUUGGAGGUCAGUUAGACUAAGUGUUGGGUUGUUGUUGGUAGCUCGGGGAGCUAGCGGAGCAGCAGUUCGGAGUUAGCGGUCAGGUAGCGGUCAAAGGGGUUAGCAGCGGCAGUUCGGCAAUAUCAGGUGAGUUUCCCUUUGUAUGAAUGGGUCUACGGCCACAAUGCCGGCCCAUGUAGUUAUGAGUAGAAGACCCGGGGGUUAGCCCUAGGCACAGUAUGCUAGUAUGAUAUUUGGACGAGGUCCAAUGACAGAGGGCGGGUGCCCAAGGAGCGGUUUAUGUGAUAGUUUAUACUUGUUGUCUGUGUGAUACUUGUAUGUGCCUGGUAGGGAGGUGAGAGAGGGCGAGGUCCCGUAUCUCACCAAUAGCAGAGUGUGGAUGGUGUUCCACAUCUCAGUAGCAGCAGAGCAGGGGCGAGGCCCAAGUUAGGAAAGGAGUGAGGGUGGGCUGGGCCCGAACCUCACUAUCAGCAGGAGUAUGGACGAGGUUCCAUGACUCAUCAGUAGCAGGACACGGGCGGGGCCCGGAGAUAGGCGAGGCCUUAGAGCAAGAGUUGUUAGUAUAUGUUUAGCUUAUGUGUUGUUAUGUGAUAUAUGUAUGUGCUAGUAUAUAUUAGUGGGCAGGGCCCUGUGACAGGCGAGGCCUAAGUGAAACAGAUCUGUAUCCGAGCGGGGCUCGAAGCCAGACGGGGCCUGGAGUGGCGGGGCCGUUGUAGCGGGCGAGGCCCGAAGUAGGGGGCGAGGCCUUGGAUAGCGGGCGUGGCCCAAUAUGUGCAGUAUGUGGUUAUGCAUGGUAUGUGGUAGGGUGGGGAACUCACUAAGCUUCGUGCUUACAGUUUUCAGUUUUGUUUUCAGGUACUUCCGGUAGCGGAGGGAGGAGCUCGGGGUGAUCGCAUGGCACCCACCAUAGAGUAGUCAACCUGGGAAUGUUUACUCUGAUAAUAAACAUGUGUUUUGAAAACUUAUACUCAAAUUAUGUUUUGGAAUGAUGACUUUGUUUAAAGUAAUGUUUUAUUAAAAGAAAUUUUUGGUCUCGAAUUUUGGGUCGUUACACUGGGCAUACACGUCGUACAAAAGGAGUACGUGGAAAGCAUGCAAACCCUAAUUUUUAGGGUUUUGGCUCAUAUUUAAGCCUCCUUAAGGCCUUACAUUUCAUUCUUACCCAACCUCCUUCUUUGACAUCGAGCCCCAAGAAAUCCUAAGAGCAAAAGAGAAAUUUUGGAGCCUUUAAGAGAGUUUAGAAGUGGUUUUGAAGAAAGAAGAAUGUGGUGAGAAGAUCUUGGAGUUGAGAGCACCUUGGAUCUAUGAUUUCUUCCUUGUUUACAACCUUUAGAAGUUAUAAAGCUUGCAACUUUACCACCCAUCUUGUAGAUCUAGGAUUUUGCUUUUUAAGUCACUUUUUGGUCCCAAAAUGGUAAUUUGAAUGGUAUUUGAGAAAUUGGUCUUUUGGAUGAAUAUGUGUCGGUUAGAGCGGAGAUUAGGAGUCGGGACCUCAUCAGCUAUUGUUCAGACUAUGAGAUGAGUUUUUCUCACUGUAGAUAUGGGUCGAAGGCACCAAGACUGACCCAUUGGAUUGAUAUACUGUUAUACAUUGAUAUGUUGAGUAUGGAAUAGAUCUGCAUGAUUACAUGCUAGUUGUCAAUAUGCUAAGUUUGGUAGAUCUUUAGGACUACCUGUGAUUCUAUCUACACGAUUAUCUGUAUGUUAAAUACGUUUGUUAUCUGUUAUAUAUCGACAUAUUGUGGUGGGUUGAGGUUAUAUUGUUGUGUGGUGUAGCCAACAAACUUGAGAGCAAUCUAGAUAUGAGCCGAGAGACAGUUGGCAUGUCAUACUCAUACUGAGGGCUCGGGAGCAUUCUAGAUACGAGCUGAGGGUCGGUUGGCAUGCCAGACUCGUAUUGAGGGCUUGAGGGUAUUACAACCCGCUGACUGAGUGGACCCAAUGUAUAUUGGCAUUCCAACCUAGGGUAUUCCAUCAUGAGGAUGACUAGACCCGGAGGUUGAUUGGGCCUGGGGUAGUCCAACCCGAUGGUUGAUUGGACCUGACAUGUUAUUGUAUAUGUUAUAUGUUUAUGUGUUGGUACUAUAGGGGGAACUCAAUAAGCUUUGGCUUAUGGUUUUUAGUUAUUGUUUCAGGUACUUCUGAUCAAUGCGGGAGAAGGCAUGACCG
rnacentral:lncRNA from 1 species